rnacentral:rRNA from 1 species
CCUACGGGUGGCAGCAGUGAGGAAUAUUGGUCAAUGGACGAGAGUCUGAACCAGCCAAGUAGCGUGAAGGAUGACUGCCCUAUGGGUUGUAAACUUCUUUUAUAAAGGAAUAAAACGAGGCACGUGUGCCUUUUUGCAUGUACUUUAUGAAUAAGGAUCGGCUAACUCCGUGCCAGCAGCCGCGGUAAUACGGAGGAUCCGAGCGUUAUCCGGAUUUAUUGGGUUUAAAGGGAGCGUAGAUGGGUUGUUAAGUCAGUUGUGAAAUUUUGCGGCUCAACCGUAAAAUUGCAAUUGAUACUGGCAGUCUUGAGUACAGGUGGGGUAGGCGGAAUUCGUGGUGUAGCGGUGAAAUGCUUAGAUAUCACGAAGAACCCCGAUUGCGAAGGCAGCUUACUAAACUGUGACUGACAUUGAUGCUCGAAAGUGUGGGUAUCAAACAGGAUUAGAUACCCCAGUAGUC